AAGGCCGCGUCCUUGGUGCCCCGGGCAGCUCAGCUGGGCUUGCUCCCUGGAGCUCUUACCCGGGUACAAAGAUGGGGCAGGUGAGAAAUCAACUCCGUGUCAGCUGAGUCCUGGUCUGUCUGGGGGUCCCACGCCACCUGAUCUGUGUCAUCUACCUGGAGGAAAGUCAGUCACAGAGGCAAGAGCUUCGUGCUGCUGUGUCUGCGUGCGGGCCUGAUGCAGGUGGCCACGAACAUCCUCAGCAGUGGACGACUCACCGUGGGUAGCACUGGCCGGGAUGCUCAGG